GUGGGCGUACAGUUGGCUGGGUGGAAGCUUUAGCACAAGCAAGUUUAACAUCUCCAUUAGAGAUGCUCUUUCUUAGAGGCUAGAAGCCCUACACAUAUGCAGUCCUUUACGUGCCACCUAGACAUAUUUUUGUGAGAUUGAGGGGUGGAUCACACACCUUGGUGUUCCAGUUAUAUGAAAUCAUUUUUUAAUUGCUAACAGUUUCUUUGAAUGACAACGAAAGAUUAAGAAAUAAUUACGAGCAAGUAAAUAAGUCUACGACUAGAACUGGUGAUAUCUAGAGGUUCAUAUUGAUCCGGCCCGGAUAGCUA
rnacentral:lncRNA from 1 species